UUCCUUAUCGCUACGGGACGCAGCAGUGAGGAAUAUUGGUCAAUGGGCGGAAGCCUGAACCAGCCAUGCCGCGUGCGGGAAGAAGGCGCUACGCGUCGUAAACCGCUUUUGUCCGGGGGUAACCGUAGGGACGUGUCCCUACCUGCAAGUACCGGACGAAUAAGGGUCGGCUAACUCCGUGCCAGCAGCCGCGGUAAUACGGAGGACCCGAGRCGUUAUCCGGAUUCAUUGGGUUUAAAGGGUGCGCAGGCGGCCCGGUCAGUCAGCGGUGAAAUGCCCGCGCUUCACGCGGGAGCUGCCGUUGAUACUGCCGGGCUAGAAUCUCAGCGAGGCGGGCGGAAUGCGCGGUGUAGCGGUGAAAUGCAUAGAUAUCGCGCAGAACGCCGAUUGGGGAGCCAGCUCGCCAGCUGGGUAUUGACGCUGAGGCACGAAAGCGUGCUGAUCGAACAGGAUUAGAUACCCUGGUAGUCCACGCCGUAAACGAUGAUGGCUCGCUCUUGGCUGGAAACGGUCAGGGGCUUAGCCGAAAGCGGUUAAGCCCAUCCACCCUGGGGGAAUUAACGCCGGCAAACCGGUGAAACUCAAAGGAAAUUUGG
rnacentral:rRNA from 1 species